AUAUUUAUAUUGUGAACUGCGAAUGGCUCAUUAAAUCAGUUAUAGUUUAUUUGAUAAUAUCUACUACUUGGAUAACCCGUGGUAAUUCUAGAGCUAAUACAUGCGAAAAAGCCCGACUUCGGAAGGGCUGUAUUUAUUAGAUACAAAACCAAUGCGCUUCGGCGGUUUCUUGGUGAUUCAUAAUAACUUUUCGGAUCGCAUGGCCUUGCGCCGGCGACGUUUCAUUCAAAUUUCUGCCCUAUCAACUUUCGAUGGUAAGGUAUUGGCUUACCAUGGUUACAACGGGUAACGGAGAAUUAGGGUUCGAUUCCGGAGAGGGAGCCUGAGAAACGGCUACCACUUCCAAGGAAGGCAGCAGGCGCGCAAAUUACCCAAUCCUGACACAGGGAGGUAGUGACAAAAAAUAACAAUACAGGACUUUUAAAAGCCUUGUAAUUGGAAUGAGUACAAUUUAAACCCCUUAACGAGGAACAAUUGGAGGGCAAGUCUGGUGCCAGCAGCCGCGGUAAUUCCAGCUCCAAUAGCGUAUAUUAAAGUUGUUGCAGUUAAAAAGCUCGUAGUUGGAUUUUGGAUUGUGUGUAAUGGUCUGCCGUGAGGUAUGCACUGUUAGGCGCAUUCUUCUUCUCAAAGACUGUGUGUGCUCUUAAUUGAGUGUGGGCAGGGUUUGGGACUUUUACUGUGAGAAAAUUAGAGUGUUUAAAGCAGGCGUUUGCUUGAAUAUUGCAGCAUGGAAUAAUGGAAUAGGAUCACGAUCUUAUUUUGUUGGUUUCUAGGAUCGAGAUAAUGAUUAAUAGGGAUAGUUGGGGACAUUAAUAUUUAAUUGUCAGAGGUGAAAUUCUUGGAUUUAUGAAAGAUUAACUUCUGCGAAAGCAUUUGUCAAGGAUGUUUUCGUUAAUCAAGAACGAAAGUUAGGGGAUCGAAGACGAUCAGAUACCGUCGUAGUCUUAACCAUAAACUAUGCCGACUAGGGAUUGGUGGCAGUUAAUUAUAUGACUCCAUCAGCACCUUAUGAGAAAUCAAAGU
rnacentral:rRNA from 1 species